GAAUGAUGUCACCAAACUACAUGCUAAGCCCAAACCUUCGGCUGUCACCCAUUACUGAUGCACAAUUUUCUCCCUAUGUUGGUGGCAUGGGAUUUUCUCCUGCAUCUUCUCCAAGUUAUAGCCCCUCUUCACCUGGGUACAGCCCCUCCUCUCCUGGGUACAGCCCUGCCUCUCCUGGGUACAGCCCCGCCUCUCCUGGGUAUAGCCCUGCUUCACCUGGUUAUAGCCCCAGCUCACCAACAUAUAGUCCAAGCUCUCCAGGAUAUAGUCCUAGUAGCCCUACAUAUUCACCGACAAGUCCAUCCUACUCCCCUACCUCCCCCAGCUACAGCCCCACCUCCCCCAGCUACAGCCCCACCUCCCCAAGCUACAGCCCGACCUCCCCAAGCUACAGCCCCACCUCACCUGCCUACAGCCCCACCUCACCUGCUUACAGCCCCACCUCUCCGUCCUACAGCCCCACCUCUCCAUCCUACAGCCCGACCUCUCCGUCCUACAGCCCGAGCUCCCCGUCCUACAGCCCAACCUCCCCAUCCUACAGUCCAACCUCCCCAUCAUACAGCCCAACCUCACCUUCAUACAGUCCAACUUCUCCAUCAUAUAGUCCUACUUCUCCUGCAUACAGUCCCACAUCGCCGAGCUACAGUCCCACAUCUCCAAGCUAUAGUCCUACAUCUCCAAGCUACAACCCUUCAUCUGCAAAGUACAGCCCCUCCCUGGCAUAUUCCCCGAGCAGUCCAAGACUAUCACCAUCCAGCCCGUACAGUCCGACAUCCCCCAGUUACAGGCAAG
rnacentral:lncRNA from 1 species